rnacentral:sRNA from 1 species
AAACACAAAUUAUCUGAAAAUGUUGCUUUGGAAUACUGUUAAUUGACACAAUUACAAUGGAAGUCUAGAUUACUAUAUUGUCUGUUUUUUCGUUAUGGGGUAUGGCCAGUGAAAUGAAGAUUUAUGUAUCAUGUUGAAACAUAUCUCUGUUUGUGGUUUUGAUUUACUGAUAAUUAUAUGUCUUUUAUUUCGAGAAGCUGGUUGAAAAAAACUAUAGAAAACAAAUAAAUAUUUUAUUUAUC